rnacentral:lncRNA from 1 species
UUUAAAUAUUAUAUAAUUUAAUUGAAAUUUGCAUGUACUAUUGGGAAUCAAUAGGGGAUCAUAUAUGCUAAAAAUGAUCAAAAUCAAUUUGCUUAUUUUAUAAUAAUAAGCAAAUGUAUAAUUUUUUAUGAAAGAUAUAUUAAGCAUUAAUGCUUGCAUAUUUUUAUUGUUAGUUUUGAAAUCUCCAAGGAUCACUGAGGUGUGGACAGGAGAAGGCAGGGUGUUUGGAGCCCAAUUUUGCAAUGGAGGUUUAUAGGUGUUUAUGAUAGAAAGGUUGCUUAGCUUUAUACCUAUUGUAAAAGCUGUUUCUGAGUAAGGAGCUGAUUUGCUUAUUAAGAGGAGGUAGAGCAUAUAGGGCCAGGCCAAAUUUUUUAUGAUAUUUUACUGCGACCAAAUUGUAACAGGGAUCUUUAGUCUAGCAGGUUGGGAAGCAGGUACAUGGGUUUCUUGGAGGGCUAUGAUAUCAAUCUUUUGUUCUAUCAUUAUUUUACUGAUAAUUUCGCCUUUAGCUUUAGAAAGUCCUUUGACAUUGAGUUGGCAGAUUCUGACAUUUCCGUGGUUCGGAGACUGUAGUGGACUUUUCAUAUCUUGCCCUCUUUCUAAACAAGAUAUGUGGUUCUUGUUAAUCUGGGCGACAACCAAACUGGCAUGAGGUUUCUUCUUGAUACAAUUCAUUUUAUGCUGUGUUGAACCAGGAGGCAUAGAGGCCUUUGGCAAAACCAGGUUGUUACUCAUUUAGCACCACCUAGGAGGCACGUGUAGCUUGAGGAAUGCUACGGACGCAAGUAACUUUGCUCCCCGAAAGAUUAAUAUCUGUAUCUGAUGCAACAUAUCGUAACUUGUAAAUGAUAUAAUUAAUCCUUUUGCUAUCAAAUAUUUUUUAAAUUAAGCCUAAUUAAUAUGCAAAAAAUAAAAAUAAAAAUUGCCAAAUCUUGCUAAAUUUUCAAAAUUUAUUGCAUUAUUUGUUCUUUUUCUAACA